rnacentral:misc_RNA from 1 species
AUUAAAACCAUACUUUUAUGGAUACCUUACACCACAAAUUAAAAUAUACAGAUUUAUCAAUAAGCAUAUAAUAAUUACUGCAGUACUGAUAUAUGUUAUUGUCCAUUUGGAUAGAGCAACAUGUUUUAUUUUACUCAUAGAGUGUUGGAUUGGAUAAUCUUGGAGUAGGUAUAGCCACCAGAGGCAUCUUCUUCUUCAGAACAAUCCCAAACUUCUCUGUGAGGUCUAAUGUCUCUCCUUCAGGCAAUUUCCAGUCGAAAGAAUGCACGAGUGAAGCCAGUGAAUACAUGAACAUCCUCUCUGCCAUGCCUAUCCCCGCACAGAUUCUUCUGCCAGAACCAAAUGGGAAAUAGUUGAAAUCAUUUCCACUAUAAUCCCACUUAUUGUCCAAAAAUCUCUCUGGACGGAACUCAGUUGGAUUUUCCCAUAUAGAAGGAUCUCGCUGUAUAGCCCAUACAUUUAUAAAUACACGAGAUCCUUCAGGAAUAGUGUAUCCUCCAACAGUGACUGUCUCACUAGGACAAUGUGGCACCAAGAGUGGAAGAGCUGGAUGUAAACGCAAGGCUUCUUUCAUAACUGCAUAGAAAUAUGGCAACUGUUGAAUAUGAGACUCUUCCACUAUGUUAUCUUUUCCCACGACUGUAUCUAGUUCUUGUUGUAAUUUCCUCAAGAUAUCUCGUUUGUUCAUAAUCUCAGCCAUGGCAAACUCAACUACGUUGGCGGUAGUGUCAGUUCCACCAACAACCAUAUCCAUGAGUAAGGCUUUGAGUUCAAUCAUAGUCAGAGGCAUUUUGGAAUCUGCUUCAUCUUUCAACUUGAGCAAAACUUGCAAAAAAUCCUUGCUUUCUUGACCAACACCAGCUCCCAUCUCAGAAUUUCUAUCCAUUUUCUGUCUUUGAUCAAUCAUGCUCUCAAAUAUCGCAUCAAAUCUCUUUGCCAACACUUUCAUCUUCUUUGUAACACCCUGCAAAUCGAACCACUCCAAGCCCGGAUAAAAAUCAGAAACAUUUGGAGUACCUAACAGCUCAGUCAUUUCAUUCACAACAUGCCUAAACUCUGCCCCAAGAUUAGCUCUUUCCUCACCCUUCACUGUAGCACCCCAUAACAUGCUUGUAAUCACAUUAAGAAUAGUCAAGAACAUCUGUUCACCAACAUUCACAGGCGAUCCUGCCUUGUUAUAGAAGUAAUUGAUUGUCUGUCUAAGCUCCUUUUUCCUUAAUGCAUAAACAGAAUCUAAAGUAGAAGAACUAAGCAUAUCACGAACACAAACCUUCCUCAACAUACGCCAUUUGGGUCCAUAAGGAGUCCAAGUUAUGUCAUUGCCACCAUAUGUAGCUUCUCUACCAGCAGCAGGGACAUCUCUGUUAGCAAAAAUGGUAUCUUGAU